GAGCUCGUGGGUGGCUUGGCUGCCUGGAAGUCACUGCAGUCGCUCGCCUUGGAUGGGAGGCCUCUGGAGCGCUUGGCUGAGGAGGUUGUGUGAAGCGAGUUUGUCUGCACUUUGUCGUGCCUGUGACACGGAGAAGAGAACAUCAACAAUACCACGAGGAAGAAACUGGUUCAUUCAAAACGAGAACCUUCUGUAAGACACCUGCGUGCUGCAGCUUAGUUGCUCAGUUGUGUCCUGCUCUUUGCAACCCUUUGGGAUAGCCGGCCAGGCUCCUCUGCCCAUGGGAUUUUUCAGGUUCUUUUGAGAUCAAAUUGUGGACAACACGACUGAGAAUGGACAGCCCCAAGGUCUCGAGGACAGCACUCAUAUGGAUAAUGGCAGCCUUGGGAAAGAACGUGUACUUCUGCAGCUGAAAUGACAGAAGCUCUGCAAGUUCCUCAAAAGCAGGGAGGUCGCCUAGUUCAUCGCUGGGCUCUUGGAACCUCCACAGCUGCAGACACAGAGCAAGAAACUAAAAAGGAAGGAACCAAGUCACAGUCAACUCCAACUUCCUUCUCCUUUUCACCAAAAACAUUUAUAAAGUGAGACAUGGAUGCAGAACCAGAGGCAUAAGGAUCCAGCAAGACAGGCGGAAGAAUGCCUUUCCGGGAAAACCAGCCUCAGGUCCGGUGAUUUCACAUGAUCUGUCUUGCGGCUCUGAGCCACGCUGAGACUCCGUAAACGUGACCGGUGGAUGGUCUGUCAUUGGGUUUUCUCUGCACGGGUGACAUGCACACGUCCCUAAUCUGCUCACAUUAGAACAAGUUGCAAAAUGUGUUUUAAUGAGGAACAGUUGGUCUGGUUCUGCGCAAAUAAAAGACAUCCCUGUAAGAGAGCUGCCACCUGU